AUGGAGGAUGAUGACCUGACCUACCACAGAGGCCUUUCAACUCAGGGCCUCUUAUUGACAAAAAGAAGAGCCUCAGAAACCAGCAAAAACAGCCAUCGUCUGAGACUGGAUUUCUGGACAGGGAAGCUGGCAGAGGACACUGUCCCCUUCACCCUGAUGCCUCUGAGCCAGAUCGAUGUGGGCCCCUUCACCCAGACGGCAGAGCUGUGCUUCCCAGGUGAGGGUGUUAGGCACGAGCUGGGUGCUGCAUUCACCCACCCAUCCCAGGGCUCCUGGGAAUUGCUGACUAAAUGUUCGGUGAAUAAAUGAAGGGAUGAGUGGAUUAGGGGUCCGCAGGGGGGGAUUUCCAUGCAGGAUGAUAUAAACAGGGCACAUGUGUGGGAACUUGAUUUAAGUAAGAACAAACAUCAACCAGCGCUACCCUUGUUUACAAAGCUGUGCUGGAGAUUGUGGAGCCCCGGGGUCGCUGGCCUUAUGUGCUAAAGAGACCCAGUGUUUAUAAAUAGGUGGUCAGGAAUCCAAACAGGAUUCCACCCCCCAGGGCCUGUGUGUGACAUCUUGAGAAAUGUAUAGGUUUGUGCUGGGUCUGUGUGGUCAAUGCCCCUGUGUUGAAUGCAGGAGGAAAGCAAGGUUAUGCGAUUCUUAAUACUUGCACUUGGCCCUGCUUUAACCAAGGAAAGCUGCAGAGGCACACACGUGCCCCAUAAAACCACCAUCCAUCGAGCAUUUGCUGUUAACAUGCCCAGACCCCCUAUACUGAGCGCAUCACAGCCUUGUCUUAGGUCAUCCUCACCCCACCUGUAAGGAGGGCUGUCCUCACUUUACAGGUGAGAAAACGGAAGUAAAACCGAAACACCUCUGACUCGAACCCAGCUUAAACCCAGAUUGGGGCAUGAACCCAGGAGUUUUUAUUUUAUUUUUAUGUAUUUAUUUGGUCUUUUUGCCAUUUCUAGGGCCGCUCCCACGGCAUAUGGAGGUUCCCAGACUAGGGGUCGAAUCGGAGCUGUAGCCACUGGCCUACGCCAGAGCCACAGCAACGCGGAAUCCGAGCCGCGUCUGCAACCUACACCACAGCUCACGGCAACGCAAGGGCACUGAGCAAGGGCAGGGACUGAACCCGCAACCUCUCCUCAUGGUUCCUAGUCAAAUUCGUUAACCACUGAGCCACAACAGGAACUCCCAGGAUUUUUUAAAUUAGAAUACACAUCUGGUGUCUGGACUUACUGAGGCUCAAGGUAAGAGCAUGAAGUCAUACUAGGGCUGGCCUGGUGCUUAUUGAAAGCAGUUGAAAGGUGCUAACAUGUGCCAA
rnacentral:lncRNA from 1 species